GCAGGUGGUCCUUUUUGGUGGGGAACAACAAGAUUUGGGUCUUAUGUAAUGGUCAGUCCUUCUAGUCUAGUCUCAGAGUAUAAGUAGGCCUUGUUUUCUUUAUUUUUCUUUAGCAAAGAAUUUUGUAAAGAACUUGCUUCUUCCUUGGAGAUACCCAGAUCUCAAAAACUGGGAUUAUCAAUACAAAUCUGAGUCUUUUCAGUAUAUUUUGUGUUUCUUUUAGUGCUUACUAGGUAGAUAGAUCUUGGGUCUAUCAUGGUUCCGCCGACGGAUUCUUUGUUGCCAUUUCCGAGUCCAUCUUCUUUCUCCCAAAAACGCUACCUUAAUCACCGCUUCAAAAUUGUUGGGUUCGAGAUUGAGCGACCGCCGGCCUAGACGGCUCUCAACACACUCAGCAAAGGAGAUCGCGAAAGUUGUUCUACUCCACUAUGACACCAGUGCUUCUACUCCUCUUCAAGUAUCGAUUGCGUUCUUCCUGUGUUUCCUUGAAGGUACCCAAGAUUACUAUUUUUGUUGGUGGAAGCUUUGAGGUUGGAAAUUAUGCAACGUGUGAGCGACCAUAUAGUCUGGAUUUUAUGUUCUUUUGGCCGAAUGCCAAAAUAGGUGUGAUGGGUGGUUCUCAGAUAUGUAUUUUAGGUAUUUCAAAAUUAGUCAAUGUACUGAUCUUAAAAUGUAAUAGGCGGCUGAAGUGAUGUCGGAGAUAGGAAAAAGAAAGAAGAAAACCUUAGAUAAAUGUGUUAACCUCAUAUUUCCAUAAAUAGCAAUGUACAUUCGAUUA